AGUGCUGUGGUGUCAUUUGUACGUGACGCUGAAGCAAUUUUGAUAAUACACCACUAAAACUUAACAACGAAUGGAAUUAGCAUCAGUACCAGCAGAAAAAGAAUUAGCAGACCUUUUGACAAACAACUUUAGAACAUCUUUGAGGCAAAGCUACGUUACAAUAAAAGAUUUUAUUUUACCAGAACGUUGUGUUGAACUGGAAAAACAGAUUAAAGAAUUUGAAAUGUCUGUGACACGGAAGUAUGAAUUUGCAGUUUUCCUAAACCGGAACAACUUGUAUAUCCGAAACUGCUUGGCUAAUUUUGCAUAAUUUUGACUAUGAAAGAUCGAAGAACAAAAAUAUUAGAAUUUCAGCUUUUAUCUGAACAAAUCGCAAGUGAUUAAAGACACUCCAAGGUUAAAAGUGUUAAAUUCCUUUCUGAAAUAAUUUAUACUGCAAGAAAUCGAAUAGACGUACCCGUUUCACAGUAUUAUCAUUGAAAAAACGAUGAAGAUUUUAAGAAAACUUUGAUGAAUUCUUUCAACUUUUCUUUUUGAUAGAAAAGAGCAGCUAUGCUAUACCGCACGGUAUAAAUAAUUUCGUUAAUUUGUUUAUUUUACAGUUAGUUAUGGCCUCAAGUAAUUCAAAAAGUGGCACAACUGUUGAGUAAAACAGUGUAUGAAGAAGAAAGUAAUCAAUCACAAAAAUCCGUAGGUAUCCUUCAAAAACAUGAAAACAAAUCCCACCGUAAACAAACAGCAUUUCACUGAAUUGAUCUAAACUAAUGCAGGUGAAAAAUAAUAGGAGUACCAUUUAUUAGAGCUGGCAAAACUGGAGAAUAUACAAGUUUAAUAUUCAGAACAAAUUAAACAGUUUCGUUAUCGAGUGAAUAAAAGAUUUCAAAAAUUCUGAUUUAAAUAUUUUAGAUGACUAAUAUUUAGUAAUUUUAGAUACAUUGUAAAAUAUUUUUCUUAAAAUAAUUGAUAUGGGAAAUAAAAUAAUACACCGAGCCUUUUCUAUUUUCGAUGCAGAGGACGUUUAACGUAAAUUUAAACGGCAACGUUUUCUCCUUAACGAGUUUUUUUUUUAACUAAAUAAUCGUGAAGGAAAAAAUUGUAAAAAAAAAUCAAAAC